UACGUAGGGGGCAAGCGUUGUCCGGAUUUAUUGGGCGUAAAGAGCGUGUAGGCGGCCUGAAAGGUCAGCUGUGAAAACUCGAGGCUCAACCUCGAGACGUCGGUUGAAACCAUCUGGCUAGAGUCCGGAAGAGGAGUGUGGAAUUCCCGGUGUAGCGGUGAAAUGCGCAGAUAUCGGGAGGAACACCUGUGGCGAAAGCGGCUCACUGGACCAUUACUGACGCUGAUGCUCGAAAGCUAGGGGAGCAAACAGG
rnacentral:rRNA from 1 species